rnacentral:tRNA from 1 species
UUUUAAUAGCUUAUAAAGAGCAUGAUAUUGAAGAUAUCAAGGAAGUAUUUUUACUUUAAAAUAU